AUGACGCUGCGUCGAAGGCGUGUGGGUGGCGCCCGGCCGGAGGGGCCGAGAGGCGGGGGCGGCGCGGGGCGGGAGGAGGCAGAGGGCAGGGCAACACCCCUCCGCCCCCUCCCCCGCGCCUCUAUUCUCCCCCUCCCGACACCCCCUACCUUCCUCUCCUCCCUCCCCGCCCCCACAACUGGGCUGGUCCUCCUCCAUCCACUCCUCCCCCCAUUCACUCCUCCCCUCAAGCCCUCUCACCUCCCCUUCCCUCCCCCAUCCACUCCUCCCCACAUCCCCUCACCUCCCUGUCCCUCCCCGUGCCCCAAUCCCCGCAAACCUGGGCUGCUCCUGCCCCUUCCACGCCUUCCUGCUCCCUCCCUCCCUGUCCCCUUCCCCUCCUCCCCACCCCCAUCUCCCCUUUACCCUCUUUCUUCCCAAACCCCUCUUCCUUCCUCUCCUUCCCCACAGGCCACUUCUCCUUUCCCCCUCCUGGCCCCCUGUCUCCUCCUCCCAUCCCCCACCCCGGCUUUAGUCUCCCAUCCCCCCUACACCCCCUUGCCUCUGCCUCCUCACAGCCCCCUACUUAUCCUAUUGCCUCCCUCCUGGGGCCCCUUCAGAUCCCUAGGGCCUCUUUGUCUCUCUCUGUUUUCUCCCAUUCCAGCCCCUGAUGACCAGGCCCCGCACCUCUGCUGGGGUCUGCCGCACACAGUAAGCUGCCUGGGAGUCCUCAUUGCCUUCCUGGGCAACCCAGCUAAAGGCCGCCCAGCAGCUGCAGCCCUGGAGGUCAGCGCAGCCCUGGCUGACGUCAGGGGCCCCUCCUCACCGCCCACCUCUGCACCUUCCCCAUCCCUUUGCCUGGUGUCCGGGAAAGGCCCCGUAGGAUGGCAUUCCUUUCCCAGGGUCUCCCUCAGGAAAGAUGAGAGGAAGCAAAAGCUCAGUCUGCACACAGGGCUGGUCCUCCCGACGGCCACAUCCGCAGGGAUGACCCUCAGAGGUGCUCCCAACUGGCUGGGAGGUUCCUCCACCUGGGCGCUCUGCUACCCAGCCGGGUCAAGGACAAACAGCCAUGUACAAAAUGGCAAGAGGCGGACCUUCCAGAGCAUGUAUAUGUGCAUAUUCACUCCUUCAAACCUCACAACUCCAUCAGCCAGGCACUUUUAUUAUCCCCAUAUUACAGAUGACAAAUCUGAGACCAAAGAUGAAUCAGCUUGGCAGUGUUCACAGAGCCAGCCUGUGGAAAAGCCAGAAUCCAGAAUCCAGUCCCAGGCCCUGCCUGCAGCAUCCCGGCUCUUACUGACACCUAAACGGCCACUGCCUCUUGGCUUAGUGCUCUUCCUUCUAAAAACGAGUCUCACUCUGUCACCUAGGCUGGAGUGCAGUGGCAUGAUCAUAGCUCACUGUAGCCUCAAACUCCUGGACUGAAGUGAUCCUUUUGCCUCAGCUUCCGAAAGUGCUGGGAUUUCAGUGACUCCACACCCACGGAAGGAGAGGGGGAUGAAGAAACCUGCCAGGAAGGUGCCUCCCGCCAGUAUCUGAUGAAGGUAAGAGGUAAGAGGCUGCCCGUUUACUGCUUGUGCCUUCCAGGGAAGUUUCUUCCCCAGGGUUACCACCCGUUUCAGGAGGCGUCUCUGGGCUAGGCUUCCUGGCAGCAGAGGCUCUCUGGCAUUGGGGCUGCUGAGGGUAUGUAGUGAAGGCCCUUGGCUUGGAAAUCUUCACCUUAGACUCAUUAAGAAUUUUUUCCAAGGAAUCCUCAUCGGGUGUGUUCCAAUGGCUCCCACCAGAUCCCAAUCAGGCCCAAACUUUUUUGCCAGUCCUCUCAAUCCAGACCCACUGAGCUCCAGUUACAUAGAACCACCUGCGAUUUCCUUGAACAUGUUAUGCAUUUUCAUGCUUCUGUGACUACUUUGCAUAUGCUGGUUCCUUUGCCUGGAGUGCCUCCUGUCACUUCUCUUCUUAAAGAACUCCUAUUCAUCCUUCAAGACCCUACUCAAAAGUCAGGUUCUUUUUCAAAGCCUCGCUUGACUUCCCAGACAGGGUUGGAUGCUCUGUGCUCCAGGUACAGGGUUCCUUCCCUGGCUCCUCUCGGAUUAGGGUAAUUAUUAGCAUUUGCAUGUUUAUCUUCCUUCUAGUUCCUCCAGAGCAGGGCCUGUCACUCACCUUGCAAAUGUGUACAGCACAGUGCCAGGCCCUAGUCAUUCCUCAGCCAAUAUUUGUGGAAGGAUAAACGCAAUUUCUUCUGGAUUUGUUGUAUUUUUGAGUAGAAUGAAGGGGAUGCUUUUGUCACUGUGGACAUUCCCGGCUACCGGUGCCAUCUCUCCAGACAAAGGUCACAUAUUUGUGGGUCUAUAUAUUCACAUAGGAUCAAUAUGCCACUUUUCAGGCCUACUGCUCCUGCUUGAAUAUACAGACUCACAAAUACGUGAGCUUUGUCUAGAUCUAUUUAUUUUACACAUUAACCUUACAGGUGGGUGUUAUUGUUACCAUCAUAAAAUAAAGAGAUUGAGAUGCCAAGAGGUUAAGUACCAUGUUCAAGGUGACAGCACUUGGAUGGCAAAGCUGGGACCUGAACCCAGGCAUUCUGGCUGAAAAAUCUUCUUUUACGUACCAGAGAUUCUCAGUAAGUGGUCUUUGAAUCAGCAGGUCAGCAUCACCUGGGAACUUGUUAGAAGUGCAAAUUCUUGGAUCCCACCCCAGACCUGCCAAAGCCAAAACUCCAAGGGUGGGGCCCGGCAAUCUGUUUUAACCAGCGCUUCUCGGGUUUGAGAACCUGGCCUGUGCCACAGCUGCUCCGGUAGCUGCCCAGAGCCAGGGGAGGGCGCUCCAAGGCCGACUUUCAUUGCUGGGAACCUGUCAGGCACUGCAGAAGGCAAGAAAAUGCGUGAACUGAGAAUUAGGAGACAGAGUUCUAGUCCCGCCAGUUCUGCAAUUAUUGGUUGAGUGAUUUGGAGCACAUUAUUUAAUGUUUAAUCUCCCUGGGCCUCAGUUUUCUCAUCUGUAAAAUGAGGAUGAUGACUAAAUGUUCC
rnacentral:lncRNA from 1 species